UACGUAGGGCGCAAGCGUUAUCCGGAAUUAUUGGGCGUAAAGAGCUCGUAGGCGGUUUGUCGCGUCUGCCGUGAAAGUCCGGGGCUCAACUCCGGAUCUGCGGUGGGUACGGGCAGACUAGAGUGAUGUAGGGGAGACUGGAAUUCCUGGUGUAGCGGUGAAAUGCGCAGAUAUCAGGAGGAACACCGGUGGCGAAGGCGGGUCUCUGGGCAGUUACUGACGCUGAGGAGCGAAAGCAUGGGGAGCGAACAGG
rnacentral:rRNA from 1 species